UGGAGAGGUGCAUGAUAUGGUGGAGAUUUAGGCAUUAGGCUAAUUUCACAGUGGCACUAAUGGUGUUAGCAUGGUUACUGGAGCCAGGGCUGUGGUGGUGGUGGUGGACUCUAAAUUCUCAAAGCAUGUCAAAGUUGAGAGUAUCCUGGUGCUUGGGGCUUUUAUGGGCUAUUUCUUGGGUUUAUCACAUGCUAGGAAGAAAAUUGCCUCGAAAGGCAGCUGGAUUCCCGUGAAGAGUGAGG
rnacentral:misc_RNA from 1 species